rnacentral:rRNA from 1 species
AGAGUUUGAUUAUGGCUCAGGAUGAACGCUGGCGGCGUGCUUAACACAUGCAAGUCGAACGGGCUCAUAUUGAAACCUAGUGAUGUAUGAGUUAGUGGCGGACGGGUGAGUAACGCGUGGAGAACCUGCCGUAUACUGGGGGAUAACACUUAGAAAUAGGUGCUAAUACCGCAUAAGCGCACAGCUUCGCAUGAAGCAGUGUGAAAAACUCCGGUGGUAUACGAUGGAUCCGCGUCUGAUUAGCUGGUUGGCGGGGUAACAGCCCACCAAGGCGACGAUCAGUAGCCGGCCUGAGAGGGUGAACGGCCACAUUGGGACUGAGACACGGCCCAAACUCCUACGGGAGGCAGCAGUGGGGAAUAUUGCACAAUGGGGGAAACCCUGAUGCAGCGACGCCGCGUGAGUGAAGAAGUAUUUCGGUAUGUAAAGCUCUAUCAGCAGGGAAGAAAAUGACGGUACCUGACUAAGAAGCCCCGGCUAACUACGUGCCAGCAGCCGCGGUAAUACGUAGGGGGCAAGCGUUAUCCGGAUUUACUGGGUGUAAAGGGAGCGUAGACGGCAGCGCAAGU